UACGGGAGGCAGCAGUGGGGAAUAUUGCACAAUGGGCGCAAGCCUGAUGCAGCCAUGCCGCGUGUAUGAAGAAGGCCUUCGGGUUGUAAAGUACUUUCAGUCGUGAGGAAGGUGUUAAGGUUAAUAACCUUAGCAAUUGACGUUAGCGACAGAAGAAGCACCGGCUAACCUCCGUGCCAGCAGCCGCGGUAAUACGGAGGGUGCGAGCGUUAAUCGGAAUUACUGGGCGUAAAGGGCACGCAGGCGGUUAAUUAAGUUGGAUGUGAAAUCCCCGGGCUUAACCUGGGAAUGGCAUUCAAGACUGGUUAGCUAGAGUCUUGUAGAGGGGGUAGAAUUCCAUGUGUAGCGGUGAAAUGCGUAGAGAUGUGGAGGAAUACCGGUGGCGAAGGCGGCCCCUGGACAAAGACUGACGCUCAUGUGCGAAAGCGUGGGGAGCAAACAGGGAUUAGAUACC
rnacentral:rRNA from 1 species